UGGGGAAUCUUGCACAAUGGGGGAAACCCUGAUGCAGCGACGCCGCGUGAGCGAUGAAGGUUUUCGAAUCGUAAAGCUCUGUCCUAUGGGAAGAUAAUGACGGUACCAUGGGAGGAAGCCCCGGCUAACUACGUGCCAGCAGCCGCGGUAAUACGUAGGGGGCGAGCGUUGUCCGGAAUUACUGGGCGUAAAGGGUUCGCAGGCGGCAUGGCAAGUCCGAUGUAAAAGGCGAAGGCUCAACCUUCGUAAGCAUCGGAAACUGUCAAGCUUGAGUGAAGGAGAGGCAAGUGGAAUUCCUAGGGUAGCGGUGGAAUGCGUAGAUAUUAGGAGGAAUACCGGUGGCGAAGGCGACUUGCUGGACUUCAACUGACGCUGAGGAACGAAAGCGUGGGUAGCAAACAGG
rnacentral:rRNA from 1 species